GGGGCGGUAGCUCAGCUGGGAGAGCGCUGCGUUCGCAAUGCAGAGGUCGGGAGUUCGAUCCUCCUCCGCUCCACCA
rnacentral:tRNA from 25 species